CGUUAGGUUUGGUCCUAGCCUCAGUAUUAAUUGCAACUAAAAUUAUACAUGCAAGUUUCAGCACCCCUGUGAGAAUGCCCUCAUCAGUCUAUCAAUUGAUCAGGAGCGGGUAUCAGGCACACGCGCACGUAGCCCAAGACACCUUGCUUAGCCACACCCCCAAGGGACUUCAGCAGUAAUAAACAUUGACACAUAAGCGAAAGCUUGAAUCAGUUAAAGUUAACUGGGUUGGUAAAUCUCGUGCCAGCCACCGCGGUUAUACGAGUGACCCCCAUUAAUACUUCCCGGCGUAAAGAGUGGUUUAAGAAACCCUCUAACAACUAAAGUUAAGACCUCAUCAAGCUGUUACACGCACCCAUGAGUGGAACAAUCAGCGACGAAAGUGACUUUAUAGCACCAGAAUCCUUGACGCCACGACAGUCGGGCCCCAAACUGGGAUUAGAUACCCCACUAUGCCCGACCACAAACUUAGACGAUAACUUACUGUAUCGUUCGCCAGAGUACUACAAGCGCUAGCUUGAAACCCAAAGGACUUGGCGGUGCCCCAGACCCCCCUAGAGGAGCCUGUUCUAUAACCGAUAAUCCCCGUUAAACCUCACCCCUCCUUGCCAAUACCGCCUAUAUACCGCCGUCGUCAGCUCACCCUAUGAAAGAGAAGAAGUAAGCAAAAAGAAUAAAAUCCAACACGUCAGGUCGAGGUGUAGCGAAUGGAGCGGAAAGAAAUGGGCUACAUUUUCUAUCAAGAAAACACGAACAGUAGACUGAAAAACUACUCAAAGGUGGAUUUAGCAGUAAGAGAAGCCUAGAGUACUUCCCUGAAGCCGGCUCUGGGGCGCGCACACACCGCCCGUCACUCUCCUCAACAGGGCCCCAUAUUUUAUAUUAAAAACUUACCAAAUUAAGAGGAGGCAAGUCGUAACAUGGUAAGUGUACUGGAAAGUGCACUUGGAAU
rnacentral:ncRNA from 1 species